rnacentral:antisense_RNA from 1 species
GGGUGCUUGAGGCUGUCUGGCUUUGAGCAUUUGCCGGGUUCAGAUAGUUAAAAGCCCCAGGAGAUAUUUCUAUCAACCUGAGGCUACCAUCCAAACCCAACAAUUGGAUGUUAGUCUCUUCUUUAUCUGGAGGCAAGACAUGCUGUCAAAG